GUAUAUAACCAUUCCAGUGUAUAUUGUUAGAGCCAUAAGUGAAGCUAUUCCAGCAAUCAAGAAUAGACCCCAGAAGCUAUUGAGACCAAGCCUAUUUGAAGGAUACGAGUUGCUGCGAUCUGGACAGGUCCCCAGUUGCCCAAACCAUUUUCCCUCUAUUUUCUUGAUUUUAUUCUCUGCCACUUUCAAAAUUGCUUCUACAAACAUCAGGUGGUAGAGGAGAACCACUGGAGAAGGCCUGAAAUCCACAUAACAAAAGAAAACCAUAUGGGAAACAACGAAAGAAGAACAUAGUUCAGACAGAGAGAACCAACGAAGCCAAGAUCAUCCGUGUUAAAUUCUUGAAUAUUUGAUACGUAUUUCCAACGCGGGGCUUCAAACAUUGAUGCAGAUUCAACAAGGGCAUACUUGGAGCAAUUCGGUGCAAGAAUGAGGUGUAUAGAUGUGGGUCCUUCAAAAGCAGCAGCUACACCUCCAUUUUUGUAACCUUUGGAAAGGAUUUGGUCGCAAUCUUCAGCAGAUUUAUGAGGUACUAGCUUGGAUUCUUCAAAACCCAAGCAUUUCAAAGUUUCCUUAACAAAAGAUCCUUUCGUUAAUCCACAAAGUCCCCCUUCUUGUUGAGCUCAUCUACGGUUGUAACAGUGGGCUGGAGUUGUUGAAUGGUUAAAAAGCUUGAUAAACUACUUUGUAA
rnacentral:misc_RNA from 1 species